CUGUUUGCCUUUCUUUGGAUCAGUUCGGACUGGAAGCUUUGGGGAAAGAGUUUAUAACGGCUGUACGGAAGAACCAAGCUGCUAGCAGCGCAUCGGACAACAAAAUUAACCAGCACGCCAUCCGCUGGUUCAACCUGGCCUCUGACCGUGGAGGUGGCUGCAAAGAACGUGCCAUGGCCAGAGAGGCAUUAACCGUGAAAUGAACACAUCGGCCAUCCCCCACUCUUCCACUACUGAUGAUUUGUUGGGUGUCAUGUGAGGGUUAUGGCAUUCCCACUUCUCCACUUGCCUCAUCAAUGUUUCCCGUAAAGCCACCAAACAAUGUGUAUGAACAUUUUACAUUUUUUUCAGGGUUUCACAUGACUAGUCGGAGUUGGAUAUUGUA